GCGAACGGACGAGAAGCUUGCUUCUCUGAUGUUAGCGGCGGACGGGUGAGUGACACGUGGAUAACCUACCUAUAAGACUGGGAUAACUUCGGGAAACCGGAGCUAAUACCGGAUAAUAUUUUGAACCGCAUGGUUCAAAAGUGAAAGACGGUCUUGCUGUCACUUAUAGAUGGAUCCGCGCUGCAUUAGCUAGUUGGUAAGGUAACGGCUUACCAAGGCAACGAUGCAUAGCCGACCUGAGAGGGUGAUCGGCCACACUGGAACUGAGACACGGUCCAGACUCCUACGGGAGGCAGCAGUAGGGAAUCUUCCGCAAUGGGCGAAAGCCUGACGGAGCAACGCCGCGUGAGUNAUGAAGGUCUUCGGAUCGUAAAACUCUGUUAUUAGGGAAGAACAUAUGUGUAAGUAACUGUGCACAUCUUGACGGUACCUAAUCAGAAAGCCACGGCUAACUACGUGCCAGCAGCCGCGGUAAUACGUAGGUGGCAAGCGUUAUCCGGAAUUAUUGGGCGUAAAGCGCGCGUAGGCGGUUUUUUAAGUCUGAUGUGAAAGCCCACGGCUCAACCGUGGAGGGUCAUUGGACACUGGAAAACUUGAGUGCAGAAGAGGAAAGUGGAAUUCCAUGUGUAGCGGUGAAAUGCGCAGAGAUAUGGAGGAACACCAGUGGCGAAGGCGACUUUCUGGUCUGUAACUGACGCUGAUGUGCGAAAGCGUGGGGAUCAAACAGGAUUAGAUACCCUGGUAGUCCACGCCGUAAACGAUGAGUGCUAAGUGUUAGGGGGUUUCCGCCCCUUAGUGCUGCAGUAA
rnacentral:rRNA from 1 species